AUUGAACGCUGGCGGCAGGCCUAACACAUGCAAGUCGAACGAGUGGCGGACGGGUGAGUAAUGUCUGGGAAACUGCCUGAUGGCGGGGGCUACAUACUGGAAACGGUCGCUACUACCGCUUACCUUCAGAUGUGCCCAGAUGGGAUUGGCCUGUUGGUGGGGUAACGGCUCACCAGGGCGACGGUCCCUAGCUGGUAUGAGAGGAUGACCAGCCAAACUGGAACUGAGACACGUGCCAGACCCCUACGGGAGGAAUAAGUGGGGAAUAUUGCACAAUGGGCGCAAGCCUGAUGCAGCCAUGCCGCGUGUAUGAAGAAGGCCUUCGGUUUGUAAAGUACUUUCAGCGGGGAGGCGUUACCCGCAGAAGAAGCACCGGCUAACUCCGUGCCAGCAGCCGCGGUAAUAC
rnacentral:rRNA from 1 species